rnacentral:lncRNA from 1 species
UGCAACAUCAAUCAAAAUGGCCUAGUCAUAACAACAGGACCAGCAAGAGUUACUCUUAACAGAACUGGUGAUUUCUAUUUUAUAUGUACCAUUCAAGGCCAUUGUUCCAGUGGCCAAAAGCUAAGCGUUAAAGUCUCAGCUUCCACACCUUCACCUCCUUCUCCUACUCCACCUACAUCUACUCCUCCUACAUCUACUCCUCCUACAUCAGGAACUACUCCUACUCCACCUACCAACGGAGGAACACCUUCACCGUCAUCUCCCACUGGGCCCGAUGCAACUCCUCCAUCACCAGGCUCAGCUACUACUCUCGUUGCUACGUUCCCUGUUCUCAUUGCGGUUAUCAUGAACUUAUUGGUCUAGACUUUAGCUUUUGGGGGAAGUGUUGCUAUUUUU